UCUAGGGGGUCAAAGAAUGCUCAAAGCACAUUUCUGCAGCUGAAUUAAUGAAUCUCUCCCAUUCUCUUUGGGAUCUGAUCCGGAAUUCCUUCAUCUUCCACCAUGACGAUGGGAAUUGUACCGAAGAGAGAGCCGAGACGGCUCGGGCACAGGGAGCCAUACGUAAAAAAAGCCACCUCGAAAAAUAACAGGCUUCAGCUUUAACUUUCACCACUAGAUGGUAGCAAACUUGUUCUCUGGCAACAACAUGGACAGGAAGUGAUCUCAUGUUCAUGCAGGAUGGACUCUAUGGUACAAACAGGAAGUGAUGCAAUACAUACGGAAGAACUUAUGGGUGAGAGGUGAGAAGCAAGGCAGUAGUGUGAGGUGACAGCGCUGAAACUGCUUCAUGAGAGACUAUACUGCACUUGGAGGGACACAAGGAUCUCUACAAGGACGUCAUGAUGGAGAAUCAGCCGCCCCUCACAUCACCGGAUGGAUCCAGUAAUGGGAU